GGGUGCGAUCAUACCAGCACUAAUGCACCGGAUCCCAUCAGAACUCCGAAGUUAAGCGUGCUUGGGCGAGAAUAGUACUAGGAUGGGUGACCCCCUGGGAAGUCCUCGUGUUGCACCCC
rnacentral:rRNA from 1 species